rnacentral:rRNA from 1 species
UCGAGGAUCUUCGGCAAUGGGCGCAAGCCUGACCGAGCGACGCCGCGUGUGCGAUGAAGGCCUUCGGGUUGUAAAGCACUGUCGAGGGGGAGGAAAGCCGCAAGGCCUGACCUAUCCCUGGAGGAAGCACGGGCUAAGUUCGUGCCAGCAGCCGCGGUAAGACGAACCGUGCGAACGUUGUUCGGAUUCACUGGGCUUAAAGGGCGCGUAGGCGGGUUCUCAAGUCCGGGGUGAAAUCCUCUCGCUUAACGAGAGAACUGCCUUGGAUACUGAGGACCUCGAGGGAGGUAGGGGCAUGUGGAACUUCCGGUGGAGCGGUGAAAUGCGUAGAUAUCGGAAGGAACGCCGGUGGCGAAAGCGACGUGCUGGACCUCUUCUGACGCUGAGGCGCGAAAGCCAGGGGAGCAAACGGGAUUAGAUACCCCCGUAGUCC